CCCACCCCCAGCCUCGCCCCCCUCGAAACACACCGGCUACUGAUAUAUUACAGAUCUCUGGGAGAAAAAAGACUUUGAUGGGGAAAUGUAUUUCUAAUAUGUCUUAAAUUACCUAGGUUGUUAUUUAUACUCUCCAAAAAUUAGAUAAUAUCUUCCAUUUCUGGGCCUGCGAGGCCAUCACAAGGAAUGAGAUCUGCCUUUUCCAAUUCAAACAGAACAACUCGCUUCUUUUCAUUUAUUUUUUUAAUGUUCCUCUCCUGGAGUUCCGAACUGUAAAAGCUCCAGGGUGGGGGAAAGAGGGCUUUAAGAAAGACUGUUGCAAAGACUCAUGCAAGAGAAAGCAGAGAAUGUAGUGCUGAGAUGGGGAACCACACAUCAGUGACAGACUUCCUUCUGCUGGGUCUUUCCAAUGACCCAAAGAUGCAGUUCCUCCUUUUCUGGCUGUGCUCCAUUAUCUACACCAUUACUGUGGCAGGGAAUAACACUGAUGCUCAUCUGAAUGGAUUCUUGACUCCACACCCCAGUGUAUUUCUCCCUGAGUCACCUCCUAUGUCGACAUCUGCUACACAUCCAGCACUGUAUCUCAGAUGCUAGUCAACUUCCUGAGCCCAUCUCAGAAAACCCAUCUCAUUGACCAGCCCAUAUGUAUCUGUAGCUUCUGGCAGUGAUGGCAUAUGAUCGUCAUUCAUUCUGGGAGCAGAAACAAUCCUUUGUGACUGAGAUGACAAAUCACACAUCAUGCAUAAUAAACAGUAAGUAGUUGAAAUCAGCAAUCUAGACAAAGGUCUAAAUUACUAGUUAACUCCUUCGUAAAGAAAAAAUCAGCUGGCUCUAGUAUCAACCUUGUGUAGUGGAGAUCAGGUGUUAAUGCUAGGUAAUGGGACCUUGAUGGAAGAAAUGGAAUCACUGGACUUGAGCAACCUGCUCACUAGAGACUGGAGAAGUCAGAAGCUGUAAUACAGGAGCUUUUUGCUGCCUCCUUGAGGGCGAUGGUGAUAUCAUCAUCUCCUUGAAGUAUGAGAGAUCCCAUACAAAAAGACAAUUUUAAAUUUAAUCUAGCACAUUUAAAGAAAUAACUUGGCAUGUGAAAAUGGUUGGAGUUGGAGUCAUUGGAGUUGCAUGUAGUUGAUAGUCUGAUCAUCCAGAAUCUUAUAGCUGUUAUUAGUGUUUUAAAGUUAAAUAUGUCCCUGUUGCCCAGGGCUCUGGUAAUUUAUGAUAGCUCCUACAGGUUCUAAAGCCCAAUUUGAUUACCAAAUGGGAUAGUAUCAUGUAAUCCUCUCUUCAUGGAAAUUGUUUCAGCUCUGCAAUAGAUUCUGAUCACACUCUGAAAUUAGCUAAUGGUUGUGACUAUAUAAAUAAAAUCAGUCAUUUGUUUGCAUUCAGCUAGAUGGGAAAAUGCAAAGAUAUGUGCAUGUAAUGGAAAAAAGUAACAGAACCUUUCCCCCAUUCAUGUAGCUGUACCUUUGAUGAUUAACUACUAAUAGAUCAUGGUUAGCUGAAUUUUUCCUGUGAAUUGUGUUGGUGAAAUUUCCACUGAAACUCUAGGUAGGAUUUGCUGGUGAUAAGUAGAAACACCUCCAGCCUUUUUUCCACGUAGUGAUUUUAGUAACCAAUUCCAUUGGCAGGAUUAUAGCAAAUGGAUUUUAUCAUAGUCAUGAAUGGUAGAUUAGUUUGUGAAUUGCAUUGAAACUAAGCAGAAAACUGACCACAUAUGAAAUGAUCAGCAUGGAAUGGGCACAUUAAAUUAUGUCCCUCAUGAAAAACACAUAAGUACCUACUUGGGAAGAAAAUUUCUGAUAGGCUGAAACCUCCUUACUAGCAGGCAAAAGUAUAACUAGAGGCAAUGCAGAAGCUGAGGUUAGACCAAUUUAGACUGAAAAUAAGGUGCAAAUUUUUAACAGUGAGGAUAAUUGACCAUUACAACAAGUUGUCAAGAGGCAUUUUCCAUCACUUAAAGUCUUUAAAUGACCAGUCUUUCUCUUUCUCCUGUCAAUAUCUUUACUGAAUCGGGCUGACGAGCAUGCUACGGAAUAGGAGGUGUAAACUGGGUUUCUUCUCCAUAUGCUCUACAGGUGCAGGUUAUAUUAAAGGAAGUGGGUGGCAGAGAGAUAUUUAGUUUUAGCCUAGGCACAGCUAGCCUUGGUAAAAACAGAGUGGGACAGUCUAUACUUUGGGGGAGUGUCCUGUAACCCCCAUAUUCCUCAUUUUAUAUAAUCAUAAUCUUGCAUAUAAAGCAUGCCUUGUAAUGUAUCGGGGAAAGGUUAUGAUCUGCUGAAAGACAUUGUUCUAUCUAAAUAUGUGUAUCACCAAUACAUAUGAAAUUAUAAGAAUUGGGUUGCAUGGUUUUCAUUAAAAUGUGCUGUGGGUUUUGGAGGCGCCCAGAUACUAGCUAUACAGAGACAAUGACAAGGGAGGUAACCAACACCUGGGUGGAUGCUGCUGAACAGAAAUCACCAGCCAUUGUCCAGCAAGGAAGCUACAAUUCAAUGACUCACCUGCAUGAGGCCACACCAGGGGAAUUUCUCAGCCUUCCCUGGAGGCUCAGCAAUGGCCCCAGACAUGCCUGCACUUGUGCUCUACAAGCACAUGGACUAAGGGUAUAAAACAGACACAGUGGCCAUGUUUGGCCUUUCUCCUUCCCCCAUCUAUGCUGCAAGCAACAAGGACACUGAGAAGUCUUAACACUCCAACAGAGGAAACUGGGCCAGGUUUCAAGGGUGAAAUCUGUGUACUAUGAAUUGCAAUAUCCAG